CAUCAGUCAGAACACAGGGACCCAGAUGUACUCUAAGGGAGGAAUCUACUGAUAACUAGAAAGGAGAACAAGGUUGUGGGCCAAGGUUGUGGCCUGAAUGGAAAGGUCACCAACUCAGGUCUGCCAGCAGCCCUGAGAAAUGGCUGAGCCUCAGGCUCCCAACAACAAUGAGGUGGACAAAAUGAAGAAAUUCAAUCUUUUCCCAAAACUGGUAGAUAUUUUAGAAGAGUGGAAGACACAUCUGGACUGUAGGAGACAGUAGAGGGCAGCUGAUAGGAUGAACAAAAUAUCUGUUUUUCAUGGGAAAAAUGUCCUCAAAUGAAUUUGGAAUGCUGAGUUAGGUGAAGUUAAGCAGACUUCGUAUCUGGACAGCCUCCAAUAACACUGAUGUGUGAAGACCCAAAAGGCUCAGUAUGUAGCUUCCCAAGGUAAUUCAAUGGCAUGCUGCUUCAUGCCAACUCCUGAGAAUCUAGGCAUCUCUUCCUCAUUCUGAGCUUGGUGAUGUCACCAUGGUAGUUUAAAGUCAGCCAUGAUGGGACUACCUAUUCUGUACAACAAAUUAACAAAAUUAACAAAAAGGAGCUUUCCCUAGGAAAGCUGGUUCUUAAACAUGUUCUCAUAUACCAUCAUCUUAGAAACUCCUUGUUGAUAAGACAUCAUAACAAAACAAAUCACAACCAUGUUGCUAACUUCUUAAGUUUGUAAGUGCUUUCUCUUAGAAAAGCAGCUGCUUUCAAGGCAGCUGAAUGUUCUCUUUAGGGAUGUUCCCAAUGACUGGAUUGGGCUAAUUCAUACUGGCACUGUAACUGAAACAGGGCCACUCAUCACCACUGCUGGAAGGGUCUCAAAUUGGGUAGGGGCAUGGAAGGAAAGUGACUAACUGCACAAUGGGCUCAGGACCCAGUGUGGGGGUCCAUCCUCAUUGGUUCUGAGCCCUUCUCAGGAAAGUAACUCCCCAGUGUUUGUAUUUGAGUAGGAAGACCAGUGAAGGGCAUGGCCCACUGAUACCCAUAUGGCCUAAUGACAACCAGUUCUGAACUGACAUGAAAAUUGGUGCUCACACCAUUGUUGCACUUCAGAAUGUUCGAAAAGAUGCACGGAGGACAUGCAAGUCAUUGUGCUCUUGGGACUGGCUUCAUAUCAAUAACAACUACAAACAGUUUGUAUGGAAAUUUUAUUUAGCAGUCAACAUUUUCUUCACAUUCAUUCUGUUGAACAGUAUGAGACAAUCCUGCUCAUCCUACUUCAACUCACCAGUUUUAUUUAGGCACAAAGGUUUUAGUUUUGUCUUAAAAUCAAGUUUUAACUACUUGAGGUUACCACUACAUAGCAAGCAGAUCUUGCUGGAAGAUGUGUUGAACAGUUUUCACCUUCUGUCUGUACAAAUGAAUGUUGUUAGGCAUUUUGGGUUUUAGAGUUGGUUCCCAUCAUAAAACCACAGUAGGACACUGCACCUUUAGGUCUAGCACUAAGAGGUCCAAUGCCAUGGGGUCUGUGUAUGGGUUUACCAGCACAGGCUCUGUCCAUGGCACCCUGGGAACAGUGGACAUCGACUGAGCUCUUUCGAACACUGUACACAGCCAUGCUUACCUGUACUGUCACCACUGUCAUUUCUGCUAGCAGGUACCAGCAGCUUUAUGAUGGGUUAGACUAAGGCUGUUAUAGUUGUAUUUCAUACUAUACAUAAUCAGCUGCAACACAACAAUCAUGAUAUAACAACUACCAGGAAAUACAGUGACAUUUUACAGUGGAUUCCAUACAAAAAUAUGCAUUUCUCAUUUUAAAAGUGUUAAUAGUACCUAAUCUUUUUGUAAAUUAAAACAAAAUUAUUAAAGGAGUUGACAUAAUGUGUGAGGGAAGAAAAUAACAAAGAAAUAAACUCUCAAUCCAAAAAUUACAUUUAGACAGUUUGUAGUAAUAAAAAAGCAGCUUAAUGAUGAAAAGAGAAUUAUAUCACUUUUUAUGGCACUUUUUAUGCUGUUCUGUCUCAGGGACCAGGGCUGGUGGUCUUUAAUGUUUGUAUAAAUUGAAAAUAGCCUUUAUUUUAUAGGCAAUAAGUAGGUAAAAAACAUUAGGAUUAACCACAAGAUAUGAACUUCUUAAGACAUUUUAUAAGAGUUUCCACCCUGUUAAAUUCAAAGACAUUAUAUUAUCAAAUAGCUUUUUAAAAGGCAAAUGAUUAAAGCAGAAAUAGCUAUUCAGCACAUGUACAGGUAAAACAUA